rnacentral:rRNA from 1 species
GAUGAACGCUGGCGGCGUGCCUAAUACAUGCAAGUCGAGCGAACAGACGAGGAGCUUGCUCCUCUGACGUUAGCGGCGGACGGGUGAGUAACACGUGGAUAACCUACCUAUAAGACUGGGAUAACUUCGGGAAACCGGAGCUAAUACCGGAUAAUAUAUUGAACCGCAUGGUUCAAUAUUGAAAGACGGUUUUGCUGUCACUUAUAGAUGGAUCCGCGCCGCAUUAGCUAGUUGGUAAGGUAACGGCUUACCAAGGCAACGAUGCGUAGCCGACCUGAGAGGGUGAUCGGCCACACUGGAACUGAGACACGGUCCAGACUCCUACGGGAGGCAGCAGUAGGGAAUCUUCCGCAAUGGGCGAAAGCUUGACGGAGCAACGCCGCGUGAGUGAUGAAGGUCUUCGGAUCGUAAAACUCUGUUAUUAGGGAAGAACAAAUGUGUAAGUAACUAUGCACGUCUUGACGGUACCUAAUCAGAAAGCCACGGCUAACUACGUG